CGCCCAUUAAAGCGGUACGCGAGCUGGGUUCAGAACGUCGUGAGACAGUUCGGUCCCUAUCCGUCGCGGGCGCAGGAAAUUUGAGAGGAGCUGUCCUUAGUACGAGAGGACCGGGAUGGACGCACCGCUGGUGUACCAGUUGUUCUGCCAAGGGCAUCGCUGGGUAGCUAUGUGCGGACGGGAUAAGUGCUGAAAGCAUCUAAGCAUGAAGCCCCCCUCAAGAUGAGAUUUCCCAUUCCGCAAGGAAGUAAGAUCCCUGAAAGAUGAUCAGGUUGAUAGGUCUGAGGUGGAAGUGUGGCGACACAUGGAGCUGACAGAUACUAAUCGAUCGAGGACUUAACCAAUUU
rnacentral:rRNA from 1 species